rnacentral:rRNA from 1 species
CUUACUGUCCCGUGACGCGCGAAUACGGCCGAAAGAGAACCGGGCUUUCGGCGUACGAACUACCGUCGCGGCCGGGUCUUCGUGCGGGUUUCGUCAGCGGGCGCAAUUCUCGGUAAUAUUCCGAAAGCCACGGCUAACUACGUGCCAGCAGCCGCGGUAAUACGUAGGUGGCAAGCGUUGUCCGGAAUUAUUGGGCGUAAAGCGCGCGCAGGCGGAUAGGUCAGUCUGUCUUAAAAGUUCGGGGCUUAACCCCGUGAUGGGAUGGAAACUGCCAAUCUAGAGUAUCGGAGAGGAAAGUGGAAUUCCUAGUGUAGCGGUGAAAUGCGUAGAUAUUAGGAAGAACACCAGUGGCGAAGGCGACUUUCUGGACGAAAACUGACGCUGAGGCGCGAAAGCCAGGGGAGCGAACGGGAUUAGAUACCCCGGUAGUCCUGGCCGUAAACGAUGGGUUUUUUUUUGUCGACGCGGCCG